AUCGCCAAGCGGUAAGGCACCGGCUUUUGAUGCCGGCAUUCCCUGGUUCGAAUCCAGGU
rnacentral:tRNA from 1 species